AAAAAGAACCUGAAACCGUGUACGUACAAGCAGUGGGAGCACAGGUUUACCUGUGUGACUGCGUACCUUUUGUAUAAUGGGUCAGCGACUUAUAUUCUGUAGCAAGGUUAACCGUAUAGGGGAGCCGCAGGGAAACCGAGUCUUAACCGGGCGUUAAGUUGCAGGGUAUAGACCCGAAACCCGGUGAUCUAGCCAUGGGCAGGUUGAAGGUUGGGUAACACUAACUGGAGGACCGAACCGAC
rnacentral:rRNA from 1 species